UACAGAGGGGGCAAGCGUUGUUCGGAAUUACUGGGCGUAAAGGGCGCGUAGGUGGCCUUCUAAGUUGAACGUGAAAUCCCUGGGCUCAACCCAGGAACUGCGUCCAAGACUGGGAGGCUUGAAUCCGGGAGAGGGAUGCGGAAUUCCAGGUGUAGCGGUGAAAUGCGUAGAUAUCGUAAGGAAGACCAGUGGCGAAGGCGGGUCUCUGGACAGUUCCUGACACUGAGGCACGAAGGCCAGGGGAGCAAACGGG
rnacentral:rRNA from 1 species